AUUGAACGCUGGCGGCAUGCCUUACACAUGCAAGUCGAACGGCAGCACGGGUGCUUGCACCUGGUGGCGAGUGGCGAACGGGUGAGUAAUACAUCGGAACGUACCUUAUCGUGGGGGAUAACGCAGCGAAAGCUGUGCUAAUACCGCAUACGCCCUGAGGGGGAAAGCGGGGGAUCGCAAGACCUCGCGCGAUUAGAGCGGCCGAUGCCUGAUUAGCUUGUUGGUGGGGUAAAAGCCCACCAAGGCGACGAUCAGUAGCUGGUCUGAGAGGACGAGCAGCCACCCUGGGACUGAGACACGGCCCAGACUCCUACGGGAGGCAGCAGUGGGUAAUUUUGGACAAUGGGGGCAACCCUGAUCCAGCAAUGCCGCGUGAGUGAAGAAGGCCUUCGGGUUGUAAAGCUCUUUUGUCAGGGAAGAAACACCGGCUCUAACACAGUCUGGGAAUGACGUUACCGACAGAAUAAGCACCGGCUAACUUCGUGCCAGCCGCCGCGGUAA
rnacentral:rRNA from 1 species